rnacentral:rRNA from 1 species
GUAGGGUCCAAGCGUUAUCCGGAAUUACUGGGCGUAAAGAGUUGCGUAGGUGGCAAAGUAAGCGAUGUAUUAAAGCUCACGGCUCAACCGUGAAUCUAUGCAUCGAACUGCUUAGCUAGAGUAUGGGAGAGGUAGCUGGAAUUUCUAGUGUAGGAGUGAAAUCCGUAGAUAUUAGAAGGAACACCGAUGGCGUAGGCAGGCUACUGGCCCAUUACUGACACUAAGGCACGAAAGCGUGGGGAGCGAACGGGAUUAGAUACCCCGGUAGUCCACGCCGUAAACGAUGGAUGCUAGCUGUUAUCAGUAUCGACCCUGGUAGUAGCGAAGCUAACGCGUUAAGCAUCCCGCCUGGGGAGUACGGUCGCAAGAUUA